rnacentral:rRNA from 1 species
UGAGGAAUAUUGGUCAAUGGGCGCAAGCCUGAACCAGCCAUCCCGCGUGCAGGAAGACGGCCCUAUGGGUUGUAAACUGCUUUUCCAGGGGGAGAAUUUUUCUGUCGUGACAGGAAUUGACGGUACCCUGGGAAUAAGCAUCGGCUAACUCCGUGCCAGCAGGCGCGGUAAUAUGGAGGAUGCGAGCGUUAUCCGGAUUUAUUGGGUUUAAAGGGUGCGUAGGCGGAUUGAUAAGUCAGUGGUGAAAACCUACAGCUUAACUGUAGACUUGCCGUUGAUACUGUCAGUCUUGAGUGUGGUCAAGGUAGGCGGAGUGUGUAAUGUAGCGGUGAAAUGCUUAGAUAUUACACAGAACACCGAUUGCGAAGGCAGCUUACUGGGCCAUUACUGACGCUGAUGCACGAAAGCGUGGGGAUCGAACAG